rnacentral:rRNA from 1 species
GACGUAGGGCGCGAGCGUUGUCCGGAAUUAUUGGGCGUAAAGAGCUCGUAGGCGGCCUGUCGCGUCUGCUGUGAAAUCCCGGGGCUUAACCCCGGGCGUGCAGUGGAUACGGGCUGGCUGGAGGCAGGCAGGGGAGAACGGAAUUCCCGGUGUAGCGGUGAAAUGCGCAGAUAUCGGGAGGAACACCGGUGGCGAAGGCGGUUCUCUGGGACGGUACUGACGCUGAGACGCGAAAGCGUGGGGAGCGAACAGG